rnacentral:rRNA from 1 species
AACGAACGCUGGCGGCAUGCCUAACACAUGCAAGUCGAACGAGACCUUCGGGUCUAGUGGCGCACGGGUGCGUAACGCGUGGGAACCUGCCCUUAGGUUCGGAUUAACUCCCCGAAAGGGGUGCUAAUACCGGAUAAUGUCUUCGGACCAAAGAUUUAUCGCCUUUGGAUGGGCCCGCGUUGGAUUAGCUAGUUGGUAGGGUAAAAGCCUACCAAGGCGACGAUCCAUAGCUGGUCUGAGAGGAUGAUCAGCCACACUGGGACUGAGACACGGCCCAGACUCCUACGGGAAGCAGCAGUGGGGAAUAUUGGACAAUGGGCGAAAGCCUGAUCCAGCAAUGCCGCGUGAGUGAUGAAGGCCUUAGGGUUGUAAAGCUCUUUUACCCGGGAUGAUAAUGACAGUACCGGGAGAAUAAGCUCCGGCUAACUCCGUG